rnacentral:ribozyme from 1 species
UGCCCAGCAACUCCUAUCCCUACCUCCACCCGGUACCGGCCGGAAACUAUGAGCAACCUUAGGGAAGAUCGGGUCAACCCCGGUGGGAACUUUGGUCGUAGGCUGACAGGGAAGG